rnacentral:rRNA from 1 species
AACGAACGCUGGCGGCAUGCCUAACACAUGCAAGUCGAACGAGAUCUUCGGGUCUAGUGGCGCACGGGUGCGUAACGCGUGGGAAUCUGCCCUUUGGUUCGGGAUAACAGUUGGAAACGACUGCUAAUACCGGAUGAUGACGAAAGUCCAAAGAUUUAUCGCCAGAGGAUGAGCCCGCGUAGGAUUAGCUAGUUGGUGUGGUAAAGGCGCACCAAGGCGACGAUCCUUAGCUGGUCUGAGAGGAUGAUCAGCCACACUGGGACUGAGACACGGCCCAGACUCCUACGGGAGGCAGCAGUGGGGAAUAUUGGACAAUGGGCGAAAGCCUGAUCCAGCAAUGCCGCGUGAGUGAUGAAGGCCUUAGGGUUGUAAAGCUCUUUUACCGGGAUGAUAAUGACAGUACCGGGAGAAUAAGCUCCGGCUAACUCCGUGCCAGCAGCCGCCGUAA